UUCAGAUUGCAUAAAUCUUUUGCCUUUUACUAAAGAUUUCCGGGGA
rnacentral:snRNA from 1 species